rnacentral:rRNA from 1 species
AUUGAACGCUGGCGGCAGGCCUAACACAUGCAAGUCGAGCGGCAGCGGGAAAGUAGCUUGCUACUUUUGCCGGCGAGCGGCGGACGGGUGAGUAAUGCCUGGGAAAUUGCCCAGUCGAGGGGGAUAACAGUUGGAAACGACUGCUAAUACCGCAUACGCCCUACGGGGGAAAGCAGGGGACCUUCGGGCCUUGCGCGAUUGGAUAUGCCCAGGUGGGAUUAGCUAGUUGGUGAGGUAAUGGCUCACCAAGGCGACGAUACCUAGCUGGUCUGGGAGGAUGAUCAGCCACACUGGAACGGAGACACGGUCCAGACUCCUACGGGAGGCAGCAGUGGGGAAUAUUGCACAAUGGGGGAAACCCUGAUGCAGCCAUGCCGCGUGUGUGAAGAAGGCCUUCGGGUUGUAAAGCACUUUCAGCGAGGAGGAAAGGUUGAUGCCUAAUACGUAUCAACUGUGACGUUACUCGCAGAAGAAGCACCGGCUAACUCCGUGCCAGCCGCCGCCGUAA